UGCGUAGGUGGCAAGCGUUGUCCGGAUUUACUGGGUGUAAAGGGCGUGCAGCCGGAGAGACAAGUCAGAUGUGAAAUCCACGGGCUCAACUCGUGAACUGCAUUUGAAACUGUUUCCCUUGAGUGUCGGAGAGGUAAUCGGAAUUCCUUGUGUAGCGGUGAAAUGCGUAGAUAUAAGGAAGAACACCAGUGGCGAAGGCGGAUUACUGGACGAUAACUGACGGUGAGGCGCGAAAGCGUGGGGAGCAAACAGG
rnacentral:rRNA from 1 species